rnacentral:misc_RNA from 1 species
AAGUCGUAACAAGGUUUCCGUAGGUGAACCUGCGGAAGGAUCAUUAACACGUAUCCAACGUUAAAACCCCCCCCGUGAACUUUCAAUCCUGCUCUUGUAACCCGCGUAGUUCGCAAUCUCUGGUAAAUCAUAGCCCGGAAAGUUGUUUUGAUUCAGAGACCUCUGGCUACGUGAGAACAUUGGAACAGUUACAAUCGAGAAAGUGUCACUGAUUGUGCAAGGAUAGCGCUUCACGAUUCCUGUAGACCGUACACUCGGGCAGGAGCUAUGCCAAAGGGUCCCCAUGCCCCCUUAUAACCCCACAGUUUAAUGUAAAGCUCAAUGUAAUACAUUGGGUAAAAAAACCGAACAACUGUUAACAAUGGAUAUCUUGGUUCUC